UUAAUUAUAGUAUGCCAUUUUUGCCCAUGAGUUCAUCAAGCUUUCUCUCUCUUCCAUCUUCCCACUUUUGAAGAAAGACAAUCCCAGAAUAAUCAAUCAGUCACUUGCACUCAGCAACAAUCACCUUCAAAUAAAGUUUACUCCUUUAUCACAUCCUUGUGUCGUCUCACUCAAUUAUAUCUUCUCAUCAAAGAACCUUCACUGUACUUGAGGCCCAAGAUCUCACUGAAAAUUUCGUCCCCCAGUCUGCAAAACUCGCCUAUAAAAUCAACGGAACCAAAUUCGAGGGAGGAUAGAAUACGCAAGGAAGGAGUCUGAAACUCUGACUUGGGCUAUUCUACUCCACCCUAUCCGUUCAAAUUUCGUAGAGAGUAUUGGAUUAAAGUUGUGGGCACAGUUGUCAUGCUGAAUGUUGCUUCCAGCCACAGGAGUAGGGAUGAAUUCUGCAAUGGAUGAUAUGAAUUUGAUUCAGCAAGCGCAGAGGCAUCAUUUGGUUGUGAGGGAGAUAGGUGAAGAGAUUGAUUUAGAAAUUGGACCUGGGGAUGAUGAUCCUUCUUUUGGUAAUGCAACUCUAAUUGGUGCUCCUCCAAGAGAAUCUUCUGCUGAAGAGCAUGGUGAGAGCAAGCAAAUGGGGAUGGGUUCUCAGCUUCCUAAUGAUGAUCAGGAGAUGUCAAAGACACAACCUGUGAAGAGGAAGAAGAAGGUUGUGAAAAGAUGGAGGGAGGAGUGGGCAGACACCUACAAAUGGGCCUAUGUUGAUGUAAAAGAUGGGACAGCAAGGAUUUUCUGCUCUGUCUGCAGGGAGUAUGGCAGAAAGCAUAGAAGAAACCCUUAUGGAAAUGAGGGCAGUAGGAAUAUGCAAAUGAGUGCCUUAGAAGAACACAAUAAUAGUUUGCUUCACAAAGAGGCUCUUCGUCUCCAAAUGGCCUCCAAGGAUAAAAUUAUUGUCGACAAGCCCAUUUAUGUCAAAGCUCUUAUGUCAAAAACAGCGGGAUCAAUUGUUGAAGCUGCACUAAAAAGGGAUCCUCAUGAGGUUGAAUUCAUUCAGUCAGUCCAGGAAGUAGUUCAUGCUCUUGAAAGAGUAAUUGCCAAAAAUUCACAUUAUGUCAGCAUCAUGGAGCGCUUGUUGGAACCAGAACGCAUGAUUAUUUUCAGAGUUCCGUGGGUUGAUGAUAGGGGUGAGACCCAUGUUAACCGGGGUUUUCGGGUACAAUAUAACCAGUCCCUGGGUCCAUGCAGGGGUGGUAUUCGUUUUCAUCCGUCAAUGAAUUUAAGUAUUGCUAAGUUCCUUGGUUUUGAACAGACUUUAAAGAAUGCCUUAUCACCUUACAAAUUAGGAGGGGCAGCUGGUGGAAGUGAUUUUGAUCCAAAAGGAAAAAGUGAUAAUGAGGCCAUGCGCUUCUGCCAAAGCUAUAUGAAUGAGAUGUAUCGAUACUUUGGUCCUGACAAGGACCUUCCAUCAGAGGAGAUGGGUGUUGGUACUCGAGAAAUGGGAUAUCUCUUUGGACAGUAUAGACGACUAGCUGGUCAUUUUCAGGGAAGUUUCACAGGGCCGAGGAUAUUUUGGUCUGGCUCUAGUCUUCGAACUGAAGCUACUGGCUAUGGCCUGGUUUUCUUUGCUCAGCUUAUACUCGCUGACAUGAAUAAAGAACUCAAAGGAUUAAGAUGUGUCAUAAGCGGUUCUGGAAAGAUUGCAUUGCAUGUUUUAGAGAAGUUGAUUGCUUAUGGGGCUCUUCCCAUCACAGUUUCAGAUUCAAGAGGAUAUUUGGUUGAUGAGGAUGGAUUUGAUUACAUGAAAGUCUCUUUCUUGAGAGAUAUCAAAGCUCAACAGAGGAGUCUGAGAGACUAUUCAAAGACCUAUGCUCGAUCCAAAUAUUAUGAUGAAGCGAAACCCUGGAAUGAAAGGUGUGAUAUUGCAUUUGCUUGUGCUUCCCAGAAUGAAAUUGAUCAGUCUGAUGCAAUCAAUUUGGUUAAUUCAGGAUGUCGUAUGCUAGUAGAAGGUUCAAGCAUGCCCUGUACACCUGAGGCAGUUGAUGUUCUGAGGAAAGCUAAUGUUCUCAUUGCUCCUGCUAUGGCUGCCGGUGCUGGAGGGGUUGUGGCUGGAGAACUUGAAUUAAAUCAUCAGUGCAAUUUGAUGCACUGGUCACCAGAGGAUUUUGAAUCUAAAUUGCAGUCAAAGUGGCCAUUUUCUUUGGCAGGAAGCAAUGAAACAGACUUAUCAAAGAGCCAUCAAAGCAGCUUCUGAUUUUGGUUAUCAAAAAGAAAGUCCCGAGUGGAGAAGGAAGUGAUGCUCGUUGCUGGUGGUUACAUGACGUGAGAAGCUGGGAUCAAAGAAGCUUGAGAGACAAAGCGAGUUGUGCAUCGAUGCAUCAAUCGCUAUCACGGCUGCCCAACGGUAGUGAACAUUGGAGGUGGAUGCGCCGGAGGGGAGACAUGAGUCAUGAUUCGCAGCUUACAUGUGCGGGUAGUGAGGGCUUUAGUGCAUGGAGCUGUUAUUUCUGCAUUUCUGACCAUUGCUCAAGCCAUGACUGAUCAAGGAUGUGUAUAGGAAUUGAUACUGACAAAACUUGAAUGCUUCUCAUUGCUUGAUAUUCAUCUUGCUUCUGGUCGCUACAAGCUUGAAGAUAAAUGCUGGCUCUGCAAUCUCAAUGUCAUGCAGGACCUUGUACUUAGAAGGAGCUGAUUUGAUUGUAAAAUAUGCAUUGUAAUAAUUUUAUACUUGAGAGAAAUAUAAAUCUUAGAGAACAAAUUGGAAUAGGCAUGUGUAAGAAAAUCUAUAAUGUAUGGUUUAGAUGUAUAACAGAAAGAGUGGCCUUUGAUUAAUGCCAGGAAUGAGAAAUAUUUGUUCGUGGCUUAUCCAAAUGCUUGCAAGUUUCAGACUUUGGAAAGAUAAGGACGUUGUAUUAGAGAUAGAAUAUUAGGAUUGAAUUUGAUUAUUGUAUUGUGUGUUCAAUCAUAAGUAGGUUCAAUGCUGAAUAUGCUCUCAGCAGUACAGCUAAUAUUUUUUACAUUUUUAUAUUGAUAUUGAAGAUUUGAAUA